rnacentral:rRNA from 1 species
AGUGAACGCUGGCGGUAGGCCUAACACAUGCAAGUCGAACGGCAGCACAGUAAGAGCUUGCUCUUACGGGUGGCGAGUGGCGGACGGGUGAGGAAUACAUCGGAAUCUACUUUUUCGUGGGGGAUAACGUCGGGAAACUUACGCUAAUACCGCAUACGACCUACGGGUGAAAGCAGGGGAUCUUCUGACCUUGCGCGAUUGAAUGAGCCGAUGUCGGAUUAGCUAGUUGGCGGGGUAAAGGCCCACCAAGGCGACGAUCCGUAGCUGGUCUGAGAGGAUGAUCAGCCACACUGGAACUGAGACACGGUCCAGACUCCUACGGGAGGCAGCAGUGGGGAAUAUUGGACAAUGGGCGCAAGCCUGAUCCAGCCAUACCGCGUGGGUGAAGAAGGCCUUCGGGUUGUAAAGCCCUUUUGUUGGGAAAGAAAAGCAGCAGGUUAAUACCCCGCUGCUCUGACGGUACCCAAAGAAUAAGCACCGGCUAACUUCGUG